rnacentral:rRNA from 1 species
AAUAUUGCACAAUGGGCGAAAGCCUGAUCCAGCCGUCGCGCGUGUGUGAAGAAGGUCUUGGGUUUGUAAUGCUCUGUAAGUGGGGGGGUAGUGUUGGUGAUUGAUACGGUGCAAUUGGGAAGCUACGGGCAGGAUGAGCACGGGCUAACUUCGUGGCAGCAGUCGCGGUGAUACGAAGGGUGCAAGCGUUAAUCGGAAUUACUGGGCUUAAAGCGCGCGUAGGUGGUUCGUUAAGUUGGAUGUGAAAGCCCCGGGCUCAACCUGGGAACUGCAUCCAAAACUGGCGAGCUAGAGUACGGUAGAGGGUGGUGGAAUUUCCUGUGUAGCGGUGAAAUGCGUAGAUAUAGGAAGGAACACCAGUGGCGAAGGCGACCACCUGGACUGAUACUGACACUGAGGUGCGAAAGCGUGGGGAGCAAACAGG